CCAGUUACUCCUGCAGAGGAAAAUAAUAAAUAAUAAAGUAAUGGCUUUAACUCCACUCCUCUACCGACCAAAUAUCCCAUGAAGUACAUCAAUUGAAUCCUUAGUAAGUUUAUGCUGUCACCUGCAACCUAUUCUCAUUUAAACAAAAGAAGAAAAGUUGUUGCAUAAGCAUGCCUAUAAUACACCACAAACCAAACAAAAGAUAAACGAUAAGAAAAAUUAGGAAGUUUUCAUAGGACCACUGUACCUUUCCACCACCCUGCAUCAAAAUCAAACACACAGUUCAACAUUGUAGGGAAAAAAAAGAGGUAAAAAGGACAAUUACUAAUUUAGAAGGUUUGGUCACAUACUAUAAUAUUUAUAAUUGAUGCUUAAGAGUCAGGGAUAUGCAAUUCCACAUAAUCAACAGAGUCACCUAAAAUGUGUACACAAGAAUGCAACGUGUACCAUUUCUUCCAAUUCAACUAAGUCACUUUCAAAUUAGAUCUUUAUCUACUAUUUGAUUUAAUCUUCCCUCUAGAUGUAGCUUCUUAACGUUAAUUUAAAAUGAUUCAAGUUAUCACAUAUGCUUAACUAAAACCUCUAACAUUAAAAUCAACACAAGAAAAAGAACAUAACUUACUUACCCUAUAGCCCAUGGAGGUAUAGAGGAAUUGGAAGUACUAGCCAGCCAAUUUUAUAGCAGUUAAUGGACAUUGACAGAUGAAAGGUUUUGCAGAAUCCUUAGAAAACGUGGACUAAACAAUUGUCCUAUAUACUCAUGUACUUUCAAGUUCUUCAUAAAUCGUAAAUAAACAAUAGCAUUAUAACUGAGUAGUGUCUGAUUGUGUGUCAAUGACAAAGAUGUCAUAGAAGAGGUUGAAGGUAUGGAUCAAAAGCAAAGAAUUGAAACCAACCUAAGGUAUAAAAUAACAAGAAUUAUGCACUGAUUACCACUUAACAUUAGAACAUAAAAGAUUCAUUCUUAACCAAUAUUCCAUAUCUCAAAUAAAAAAUAGUUUUCUGAUGCUAGUUCAAUCAAAAUAUGUGAGCAAAAGAAUUAUAAUAAAAGUUAAAAACCAGUACUUUGAGCUAAAAUACUACCACUCCGAAGUAAUGAAUCGGGAGGAAUGAGAGAAACACCUGAUACGAGGCUAGUAAUCCGACUCAUCUGCAGCUGCCGUACCCCAAAACCAGAAAAUUCUACUACAGAACAGCAACCCACAAACCAAAACAAAACACAAACCUGCACCAGUUCAACAAACUUGAACUACAACAUCAGCUANNNNNCUUAUCAUACAACUUAAAGGAUAUAACUAUUGUUAAUGGUUAAAACCUCAUUCAUUUGUUGUCCCCUUUAUUUGUUCAGUAGCUACAAAACAACAUAAACAAAACAAUAAGAAUUGUCAAAUAAGAAUCCACCCGAAUCAACAAAAAUUGGAUAAAAUCACCUCUCAAGUUUCAUUUUUUCUUCACACAUACAAUCUUAAGAUUGAAUCAUUUGAUUAGAGAGCAAUCAACAAUAAAUCUGAACUAAGCAUUAGACAUAUUUUCAAAUUAGCAUCAGUUUAACAUGAAUUAGAGGUUCUCUGAAUGAACUUCAACUGUCAAAUUAACAAGAAAGAAAGGGGAAAUAAACCAUAGAUCCNNNNNNNNNNNNNNNNNNNNNNNNNNNNNNNCAACAGAAGCAAUUAUAGGUUUCAAGGAUGAAAAUCGACUUUAGAUCUUAGGAAAAAACAAAAGAAAAUAGCAUAACACAAUUUCGUAGGGUUCGAGGAUAAAAUAGCGAACCUGAAAAGUGAGAUGCCACAACGGAAGAGAAGGCUGUAAGAAGAUAACGGUGAGGGACGAUAUAGAGAUUGUGUGUGGUGACUGGUUCUCACUUGUGAUGUGAAAAACGAACGCCGGGGCUGUUGCAAAAAGGGAA
rnacentral:lncRNA from 1 species